rnacentral:rRNA from 1 species
UAGACUUCAAAUCAGGUGGGACUACCCGCUGAACUUAAGCAUAUCAAUAAGCGGAGGAAAAGAAAAUAACUAUGAUUCCCUUAGUAACGGCGAGUGAACAGGGAAAAGCCCAAAUUUGUAAUCUGGCACUUUUUACAAGUGUCCGAGUUGUAAUUUGUAGAGCUGUUAUCCGUA